GACGAACGCUGGCGGCGUGCUUAACACAUGCAAGUCGAACGGAAAGGCCCUGCUUUUGUGGGGUGCUCUAGUGGCUAACUGGUGAGUAACACGUGAGUACCCUGCACUUUACUUUUGGAUAACUUCAGGAAACUUUGUCUAAUCCCGGCUAGGAGCUACUGCUGAAUGGUGUGGGUUGGAAAGUUUCGGCGGUUGGGGCUGGACUUGCGUCUUAUCAGCUUGUUGGUGGGGUAGUGGCUUACCAAGGCUUUGACGGGUAGCCGGCCUGCGAGGGUGACCGGCCACAUUGGGACUGAGAUACGGCCCAGACUCCUACGGGAGGCAGCAGUGGGGAAUAUUGCACAAUGGGCGGAAGCCUGAUGCAGCAACGCCGCGUGCGGGAUGACGGCCUUCGGGUUGUAAACCGCUUUCGCCUGUGACGAAGCGUGAGUGACGGUAAUGGGUAAAGAAGCACCGGCUAACUACGUG
rnacentral:rRNA from 1 species